GGGGGGUGGACACGCUCGGGCAAAAGCAAAAGCAAAAGUGAGCGUGAGCGAGAGAGAAAGAGAGGAUGUGAUUUGGCUUGUCCGAAAAAAGCAGCACUUCUCUCUUUGACUCCUCCUCAUCAAUACCGAUUAAUUGGCUUAUCAUAAACACAUCGGCUGAGCGGGGAUAGCUGGCCAGCAGCUAGCUGGAAGCUAACGGUGGCUACACUGUCAGAGCGGCGUAAAGUGUGGUGCUGGAAGGAACUUUAAGAGGGAAGCCCAGACGUCCCGCUUCCCAGCUUCUUCUUCCAACUCUUCAGGAUGGAUCCCAAGGCGUUUCCAGGCCAGCUGGGUGGCAGUCUCUCUAGUGUCCUGUGUCAUCACUGGGGUCCACUGCCAGUGAGCACCUCUCACCAAGGAGGCAACCAGGGGGCAUCGUUAACAUAGGCCCUAGCCACCUUAUCUGACUCCUCUCAAUGUGGAGGAGCAGCUGCUUGACUCUGAGUAACCGACCCAUUCCUCUUCAUUCACAAUGGAUGACUCGACUCUAUUGAUUAUCAUCAACUAGGAAUGCACUGAAGUGAGAACUCUUUGCCAAGACUUGAAAAAAAAAUGAGGAUAUAAAUAGAAGCCUUUCUUAUGUGGAUAUAAAUCGGAUAUGUAUUUUCGGUGACUUGUCAGAUCCAUUUGGCCGUAGAAAGAAAAUAAAGAUGUUUUGAUGGUUGCUCACA